rnacentral:rRNA from 1 species
CUUUUCUUGUUAGUUUUUGAAGUAUGGCCUGCCCACUGACGUUUAGAGGUUGAAGGGCCGCGGUAUUUUGACCGUGCAAAGGUAGCAUAAUCAUUAGUUCUUUAAUUGUGAUCUGGUAUGAAUGGCUUGACGAGACAUUAGCUGUCUUAAGGGUAUUUCUUUGUUGAAUUUAGUUUUUGAGUUAAAAUUCUUAGAUGUUUUUAUGGGACGAGAAGACCCUAUAGAGUUUGACACCUAUCUUUCUUUUGUGUUAGAGUGUUUGUUUAAUUGUUUUAAGUUGGUUAGGUGUUUUGUUGGGGUGAUGGGAGGAAUAAAACUUAACUCCUCUUUGAUUUUGUAUAUUUAUUUAUACUUGUUUUGAUCCAUUUAUUUUGAUUAUAAGAUUAAAUUACCUUAGGGAUAACAGCGUUAUCUUCCUUGAGAGUUCUUAUUGGCAGGGAGGUUUGCGACCUCGAUGUUGGAUUAAGGUGAAUUUUCGGUGCAGGAGCUGAGAGUGAUUAGGUCUGUUCGACCUUUAAAAUCUU